rnacentral:rRNA from 1 species
GACAGAGGAUGCAAGCGUUAUCCGGAAUGAUUGGGCGUAAAGCGUCUGUAGGUGGCUUUUUAAGUCCGCCGUCAAAUCCCAGGCUCAACCCUGGACAGGCGGUGGAAACUACCAAGCUGGAGUACGGUAGGGGCAGAGGGAAUUUCCGGUGGAGCGGUGAAAUGCGUAGAUAUUGGAAAGACCACCGAUGGCGAAGGCACUC